CUUAAUUUGUUUAAAGGACUGAAACUGCUGGAAGUCACCAUGUCUGACAAGCAAUCAGGUCUUCAGAGCUUAGCUCAUCAAGCUCAGGGCACAGUACAGGAUGCUGCAAACAAGAUGGGACAGGCCACACAGCAAGUUGUGAACCAAGCUACAGAGGCGGGUCAAAAAGCUCUGGACCAGGUGUGUAAGGCGGCUCAAGAUGGUGUUGACAAAACAGCAACUGAAGUUGAGAAAAAAUUUGGACUCAAGAAAUGAUGGCCAUCAUGAUAUUUAAAGGAGACAAAAGACUGUCAGGCAUCUUUA